UGAACAAGGUUAAAUUUUUCACUAUUUUUUUUUUUCAGAAAAGCAACAUUCUGGGGCUGGAGAGAAGCCUCGGCAGGUGAAAAGCACCCGUUGCUCCUGCAGAGGAACCAGCUUCAAUUCUAGAGAUACGAUGUCCUUAAGUAUGCAUCGCAGUGCUUGUCAAACAGACGCACGCCUCCUUAGACCCCAGAUGCUCAGAUAACGGCAUUUCAGCAGGCUGCUCGACAGCUCAUGAGCAGAUGGCAAUCCUACACCUCCAAACGCACACCAGCCAGAUUUUUCCACAUUCUGCACAUUCUUACUCAUCGUACCAUUUUCAAAUAUUUAAGUUCUCACCUAGCAGGGAUUUGAGCAAAUGCGGCGCAGUUACGCAGAGGUCUGAAACACAAGUGGUCCCUCCCGUGUAGUGGCGAUUCGACAGAGGCACAGGAAGAACUGCAUAAAAGGUGUCCUGGUCCAAAACUCUGCCCUGGGACACAGAAGCCUGGAAAUUUCAGCUGGUUCCCUAGGACUUGCUAUGAAGAUCUUCUCCACCUACAAGCUCAAGCCUAGCCUAGCUCUAUAUAUAUAAUGAGUUCCAGACCAGACAGGACUACACAGCAAGACCAUGUAUCUGAAGAUAAAAAGAAAGAAAGAAAGAAAGAAAGAAAGAAAGAAAGAAAGAAAGAAAGAAAGAAAGAAAGAAAGAAAGAGAGAAAGAAAGGGGGAAAACCAAAAAACAGGAGAAGAAAACAUCUGGAGUAUAAGAAACGUGAUUACUAUUGGUUCUGUUCUCCCUGCUACAAAACCACAAUCCGUUGGCUAGGCUCUGCUUUCGUCAACCGGUUGGGAGUUCAGGACACCUGCUUCGCUUUAGCUCUACUGGUCCCACGCCGACGCAUUAAACCCUGCUUUGGUGCACCCAUCCCUUUCCAGGUGUGACAGCAAGCACAUGCUAGGAUGCUAUAAAUCCCGGGUCCCCUUACCUGUCCCCGUCCCCCCCCCACCCCGUGUGUGUUAGGAGCAGUUCCAGACCGAAGAGGGGCGGGCGCCUGUGCUGCUCUUCAUUCACUCACACUGAAAGACUUUUCCCCGUCCGUGAGCUGAUUCCAGGAGGUCCACAGCUUCAGAUGCUGACUUGGCGGUGAAGAACAACUUACUGGCUUCCUCAGAAACGGGCACAGGGAAGAUGCUAAGCUUGCCCAUGGAAGCUGCUGCCCAGUUGGUGGCAGAAGCCUGCCACAGCCUCACAUGCACGCACGUCAAGGGCCUCUGCACUGCAUGAAGCAAGCAGAGCUUGGAGGUUGAGACGCAUGCCCGAGACCCCUCUGUGAAAACUGACAUUGCCACCGCCGGGCCAGAGGGUAAGCAUAGACCCCGGGACCCCACAGUCCGGGGAACUGUGGGGUGACUCAGUUUCAGUCCCUUUUUUGUUUUCAACUCAGGCUCAGACAAAGUGGGUGUCUAGAGUUGUCACUGGGGCCCAAAGAUAAAUCUAACCACCCAGCUCCCCUACUGAAGCCCUCAGGAGGCUCAGAAGGAAUGGAUUGAAUGUAGGAAACACAAAGCCAUUCCUUCUUCAACGCCUCCUUUCUCACUCACGGGAGCUUCCAGAUUCAUUGGUUUUAGCUCCUGGAGAGUGUCCUUCAUGUCCUUCAGGCCUGCGGCAAUCUCCUGGGCCGCCUUCCUGUCUACCCUUCAGAACUACAAAUCCUGUGCAGGUACCCACAUGCUUUCCUUGGCCCCUACAUCAGGAUUCAGCCUCCCGGAUCGGGCUUAUAUCCUUAUUCUGCAUGUUUCCUGCGAUGCACCCCCCUCAUUUAGAAUCUUAAGUUCUGUGAGAAUGUGGGUUCAUUGCUCUGUUCCCAGAGCCUAGCACAGCGUGCACACCAUGCAUAGUCAUUGCUCAGCAAACACACCGAGUCAUUGGAAAGAUCCGCUGACUUAGCUUCAGUGGGCUCAGGAGAGCCAGUGAUGGGUGUUGCCAUGGAAACGGGAACAAGGGUCUGCCUGAGGAUCCAGGUCUAGCUUGACUGCUGGCUUGUGCUUCGAUGAGUGUUGUCAGUAGGCUCAAGUCCUGCUCAUUUCUAAUCCAUAGAACUAUCAACUCCAGGCUUUAGAGAAUCCUCAACCAACUUGUCCAUGAAAAGUACAGCUGAAACUUUCAAGAAGUCAUGGCAUGCAGCCCCUGCAGGAAGAGACCUGCUGCUCUAUAGAUUUAUGGUAAGGGUACAUAUUCAUGUAUUUCUUUCCUCACCCCUGAUGCUCUAUUAUAGUAUAGUAUAAAAAUAAACACUGUAUGUACAAACCUUAAGGGUACCUUCCUCAACCAACAGAUAUUUUUGCAAUGUCAUCAGCAGGGCACAUGUAAAACAUGUUGUUGUAAAUUAAACUGCAAAACUAGAAUUCCUCAUCUCUUUAGUUCUCUAGAGCAACUGACAGUAUUUCUCUUGUAUGUAAGAGCAGACUACCUGGGGCUGAUAAGUCAGAUCUGUAAGAAGACAGGGGAUUUUAUCUAAUUAUUACAAGAUGCUCUUGGUGGUGUUUCCUCUAAUAUAAAUGACUAUCCAUAGGAAAAGCACAUUGCUGAGCCUGACUGAAGAGAAAGGAGCAUGUCAGGAAGGGCACAUCUUAAGAUUUAUAACUCUAAAUCUGUCUAAACUUAGACAAUGCAUGUAGAACAGGGAUAAACUGUCUUUUAUACAGCAUAGAGACUGUCUGACCUUCAGAGAGGUGUGCCUUGUACUAAAACCCCACAGUUAUGCUCUAACAUGAGUGAGCAACGCUCUGUGAAACACUAUAGGUGUGGGCUUUUACGCUGUGCUUAAAGUACACUAUCAGGCAUUCCUCGGGAAAUUCCAUGAAGACUCCAGAUUGAAUCAAGCUAAAUAAACUGUCAAAGGCCCAAAUCUCCAUUAA